rnacentral:rRNA from 1 species
GUGACCACAAGUUCAACGGCCGCGGUAUUUUGACCGUGCAAAGGUAGCGCAAUCACUUGUCUUUUAAAUGAAGACCUGUAUGAAUGGCCAAACGAGGGCUUAGCUGUCUCCCCUCUCAAAUCAGUGAAAUUGAUCUGCCCGUGCAGAAGCGGACAUAAAUAUACAAGACGAGAAGACCCUUUGGAGCUUAAGGUACAAAUCCAACCAUGUUAAACAGCCUGCUAAACAGGAAUUAAACCUAACGGAAACUGGAAUUUUACCUUCGGUUGGGGCGACCACGGAGAAAAAUUAUCCUCCGAGUGGAUUGGGCCAGCUUCGGCCUAAAACCAAGAAAGACAUUUCUAAGUCACAGAAAAUCUGACCAAUAAUGAUCCGGCCACAAGACCGAUCAACGAACCAAGUUACCCUAGGGAUAACAGCGCAAUCCUCUCCCAGAGUCCAUAUCGACGAGGGGUUACGACCUCGAUGUUGGAUCAGGACAUCCUAAUGGUGCAGCCGCUAUUAAGGGUUCGUU